rnacentral:rRNA from 1 species
UACAGAGGGGGCAAGCGUUGUUCGGAAUUACUGGGCGUAAAGGGCGCGUAGGCGGCCCGCUAAGUCGAACGUGAAAUCCCCGAGCUCAACUCAGGAACUGCGUCCGAUACUGGCGGGCUUGAAUCCGGGAGAGGGAUGCGGAAUUCCAGGUGUAGCGGUGAAAUGCGCAGAUAUCAGGAAGAACACCCGUGGCUAAGGCGGCUCUCUAGUACGGUACUGACGCUGAGACGCGAAAGCGUGGGGAGCGAACAGG